GAGGGCCGAUGGUAUGGGCCUGAGGUGUGGAGGGCCGAUGGCAUGGGCCAGAGGUGGGGAGGGCCGAUGGCGAGGGCCUGAGGUGCGUUGGGCUGAUGGAGAUGGCCCAAGGUGGUGAAGGCCGAUGGAGGUGGCCUGAGGUGGGCCGAUGUUGGGGGCCCGAGGUAAGGAGGGCCGAUGGAGGGGGCCUGAGGUGGGGAGGGCCGAUGGAGGGGGCCCGAGGUGGGGAAGGCUGAUGGUGGGGGCCAGUGGUGGAUAAGGCCGAUGGUGGUGGCCUGAGGUGGGAGGGCCGAUGGUGGGGGCCUGUGGUGGAGAGGGCCGAUGGUGGUGGCUUGAGGUGGAGAGGGCCGAUGGCGGGGGCCUGAGGUGUGGAGGGCCGAUGGCAUGGGUCUGAAGUGGGGCUGAGCUGCGGAGGGCUGAUGGAGAUGGCCCAAAGUGGGGAAGGCCGAUGGAGGUGGCCUGAGGUGGGCCGAUG